GACGAACGCUGGCGGCGUGCUUAACACAUGCAAGUCGAACGAAAAUACCAAGCUUGCUUGGUUGAUUAGUGGCGAACGGGUGAGUAACACGUGAGUAACCUGCCCCUUACUUUCCUGGAUAACUGCUCGAAAGGGUAGCUAAUACGGGAUAUUCUGACCAGCCUGCAUGGGUUGGUUUGGAAAGGUUGUUUUUCUGGUAAGGGAUGGGCUCGCGGCCUAUCAGCUUGUUGGUGGGGUGAUGGCCUACCAAGGCUUUGACGGGUAGCCGGCCUGAGAGGGUGGACGGUCACACUGGGACUGAGAUACGGCCCAGACUCCUACGGGAGGAAGCAGUGGGGAAUAUUGCACAAUGGGCGCAAGCCAGAUGCAGCGACGCCGCGUGAGGGAUGAAGGCCUUCGGGUUGUAAACCUCUUUCGUCAGGGAACAAGGCACUGCUUUUUUGGUGGUGUUGAGGGUACCUGGAUAAGAAGCGCCGGCUAACUACGUG
rnacentral:rRNA from 1 species